GCCAGUAUGGUGUAGUGGUUUGAACAUUGGACUAUGACUCUGGAUAUCAGGGUUCAAAUCCUGGCUUGGCC